rnacentral:rRNA from 1 species
GACGAACGCUGGCGGCGUGCCUAAUACAUGCAAGUCGAACGCUUCUUUCCUCCCGAGUGCUUGCACUCAAUUGGAAAGAGGAGUGGCGGACGGGUGAGUAACACGUGGGUAACCUACCCAUCAGAGGGGGAUAACACUUGGAAACAGGUGCUAAUACCGCAUAACAGUUUAUGCCGCAUGGCAUAAGAGUGAAAGGCGCUUUCGGGUGUCGCUGAUGGAUGGACCCGCGGUGCAUUAGCUAGUUGGUGAGGUAACGGCUCACCAAGGCCACGAUGCAUAGCCGACCUGAGAGGGUGAUCGGCCACACUGGGACUGAGACACGGCCCAGACUCCUACGGGAGGCAGCAGUAGGGAAUCUUCGGCAUGGACGAAAGUCUGACCGAGCAACGCCGCGUGAGUGAAGAAGGUUUUCGGAUCGUAAAACUCUGUUGUUAGAGAAGAACAAGGACGUUAGUAACUGAACGUCCCCUGACGGUAUCUAACCAGAAAGCCACGGCUAACUACGU